rnacentral:snRNA from 1 species
GUACUUGCUUCACCAACACAUAUACUAAAAUCAGAAUGAUACAGAGAGGAUUAGCAUGGCCCUUGCACAAAGAUGACAACCAAAUUGUGAAACGGUCCAAAAUAAA